rnacentral:rRNA from 1 species
CCUACGGGAGGCAGCAGUGAGGAAUAUUGGUCAAUGGACGAGAGUCUGAACCAGCCAAGUAGCGUGAAGGAUGACUGCCCUAUGGGUUGUAAACUUCUUUUAUAUGGGAAUAAAAUGUUCCACGUGUGGGAUUUUGUAUGUACCAUAUGAAUACGGAUCGGCUAACUCCGUGCCAGCAGCCGCGGUAAUACGGAGGAUCCGAGCGUUAUCCGGAUUUAUUGGGUUUAAAGGGAGCGUAGGUGGAUUGUUAAGUCAGUUGUGAAAGUUUGCGGCUCAACCGUAAAAUUGCAGUUGAAACUGGCAGUCGUGAGUACAGUAGAGGUGGGCGGAAUUCGUGGUGUAGCGGUGAAAUGCUUAGAUAUCACGAAGAACUCCGAUUGCGAAGGCAGCUCACUGGACUGCAACUGACACUGAGGCUCGAAAGUGUGGGUAUCAAACAGGAUUAGAUCCCCUGUAGUC